rnacentral:rRNA from 1 species
AGAGUUUGAUUCUGGCUCAGGAUGAACGCUAGCUACAGGCUUAACACAUGCAAGUCGCGGGGCAGCAUGAAGUCAGCUUGCUGACUUUGAUGGCGACCGGCGCACGGGUGAGUAACGCGUAUCCAACCUGCCUGUUACCACGGCACAGCCCGUCGAAAGGCGGAUUAAUGCCGUAUGUGGUCCUUUGCGGGCAUCUAAUUAGGACUAAAGGUUCAGCGGUAACGGAUGGGGAUGCGUCCGAUUAGCUAGACGGCGGGGUAACGGCCCACCGUGGCUACGAUCGGUAGGGGUUCUGAGAGGAAGGUCCCCCACACUGGAACUGAGACACGGUCCAG